AUCCAAGUUUACCAUAAAAGCACAAUGUUCUUCAGGGUAUUGGGCAAAGGAACACACAGCCUGAGAAGGAUGCUCCACAGCUUGGGCAUUGUAGUACACUCGCGUGUUUACCCAAGAGGAAGGAUGCUUUCUCAGCCUUGUGCUUCUUCUCAAUACUGGUUGGUUCUGAACCUGCUCCACUUGGACACUCGGUUCUGGUGCUUCAGCCUGAGCUUCUACUUCUCCUUGGCUUUGAUCAUCUUGAUUGUGAGAGCCUGAAACACUCUCUUCUUCUUCUUCACUCAAGCCGGCUCCAUCCUGACCAUUUUCUUGAGUUUCAGAUUCCCUGCCCCCCUCACGAUCA
rnacentral:lncRNA from 1 species